CUGCCACAGAUGACAGAACGUGGGUCUGAAAGUCAGGGAAACAGCCGACCUAGUUUAGUAGUCCUACUUGGUGAGAAGUGAGAGAAUAUGCAUUAUCCACCGUCGAAUGUCAAAGCAUGGUAUAAGGGAUCCCAGGAUCUCAUCCAAAUUCUGGGUUCAGAAUGAUGCAAGGACGUCUCAGGUUCCGACGUACAAAGGUUCAGAGACUUCGUGUGCAAGAAUCCAUGCCACGUCUGGAUCCACCGGGAAUUGUCCGCACACUACAACUACAAACUGUUCGGCGUAGAUGAUAUUCUGUGCCAGCCCCCAACAGUCAAAGGCAUAGCUAUGGCAACCAUAAAGUCAUAAAUUAAAGCUCUAUAUUGGGGGACUCGGAAGGAAGUACAAAAAUAAAUUAAGACCAUAUUUUUUUCACCCAUUUUGGAACGAUAAACCCAUAUACAGUAUAAUAUAGACCAGCGGUCUCAAACCGACUCCACAAAGGGCCGCAGUGGGUCCUGGUUUUUGUUCCAACAGAUCCACCACAAACAGUUCAACCAAUGAGGUUUCUACUAACAUAAGCAGCACCUGAUUGCAAUCAACUGAUUACACUUGUAAGAAACCAGAUUGGUGAAAAGGUAUUUGUCUCGUUUGGUUGGAAUGAAAUCCAGUACCCCCUGCGGCCCUUUGAGGACCGGUUUGAGACCACUGAUAUAGACCAUUUUAAAUUAAGUUUAAAUAUUUCAUGCUUUUAUUAUUAUUUAUUACGCGCUAGAAAUCUAAUUCAUUUAGAUUUGGAGUGCUUUCGCUGCCAGCCUCUCCCAGUCAACAAUUGAUUGGAUGUCAAGUGCUGUCAAUGGCAGCCAAUGAGUUAAAUGUUGAUGUUUAUGGCUUGCAAAAAUAAGAAACCCUAAAACUUUAUGUCUCAGAAUUACGAAAAAAAAAAAAAAAUCUGGGCCCUGCAACACAUUGUCUGUUAUUGCAGAAAUGUUGGUAUAGUUUUAGUUGCCACUUCUGGGAGAUGAUUGGAUGAAAUUUUACCCAUCAAAAUCAAAUUAUGAGGUGUGGCACGCCCUCUUUGUUUGUUGGCUCUUUGAAAAUGGCUUAACAAGUUCAACUUCAAAAGGGAUCAUGUAAAGUGCACAUUUCUAAUCAAAAACAUAACAUUAAAAAAAAAAAAAAAACAAUAAAAGCAUGAAAUAUCCCUGACCAAAAAAGUUAAAUAAAAUUAUAUAAAUGCGAACACUUUCACAGUCUAGGGCUAGGCACAUACAGAUGAGGCUAAUCAAUAACUAAAUUUGCCAUAUACGAUGUGUGCAUGUUUAGUUAUAUUUUAGGACUAGUUGGUUCAACUUUAAAUUACAUAUUUGCAUAUAUGUGAUGGUCCACAUGGUCAUCCCCCCCAUGUCGAUGUCAGUCCCAGAAGUGCAGCUGUGACAGGCCUCGACUCCUGAAGAAAUUCAGCAGAUGUCAGAAUUUUCUAAUGUACUGAAUGUCUACAACGAGACUAUCCAUCCUGCGUCAAAUAUUUGGAUUUGUUUUAAAUGACAGCAUAGAAUGUUGGUUGUCGUUGAUGUGACAUUACCUCAAUAAUGUGAAGAAAUAAUAAAGGCAAUGAUUGUUUUUCUGCAAAGUAAUAUUUUAUUGAUGACCAGUGUAAUACAAUACAAAUGAUAAACAGGCAAUUGAUGUACAAAAAAGGACUUCCAGCACAACUAACUCGUUCAUCAAAAAAAUUGUCCACUGGACACCAACAUGAGCCACUUAAGGUCAGUAACUUUUUCCCCUAAUACUGGCCAACUGCUCACCAUCAGCAUUCCCUGAAAUGUAAAUUUAUUGCGUCUUCGGGGAGCUU